AAUGGCACCAAGAUGGUGUCUUCUGCCUUGCAUGAAGCACUAAAAUUCCAUAGCACAUUAGGAGCAUCAGCACUAAAAUCACAUGAAAAAUGCCAUUCAUAUCACCAAACAAUUUCAAGUUUGCAUUAACAAUAUAUCAUAUGAAGCAGAUUCUCUCUAGGGAACAAGUUUGAAAAGCUCUCUGAAUGACAAACACACUAAAAUCUACCAAACAUGAUGAUGAACUUCUUGUUUGCAGUCAAUUCCCAAACACAAAAUUGUCCUCUGCAGCAAACCCACGUGAGAAGCAAGUCAGUUAACUCACAUGUCACUACAUGUGUAAAGUACAUGCUUGUAACCGUAAAAUUGAAUACUAAAAGCAGCAAAAAUUAUUGAAAUUGACAAUAUUCAAAAAAUUAUAAAAUCCAACGAAAAAGGCAGAAAAUCUUUCCUCACAAUAUUGAAUUGCGGACACUUAAAAACAAAAACAAAGUUCAUCAGCUUCAGUAGAGAGGAUCUUAUGUGUGUGAAUAGGAAGCUCUAGGUUGAGCUUAAAAGUUGUCAACUUCAGAGGUAGCACAAUCUACAGUUACAUAUUAAUAAUUGUAGCCAUGGAACAUAUAAUUGAUGUUCUCAAAGUACAUAAUAACAUCAAAUUCUGCUACUAACAAGCAAUAACCCUUUUUUUUUUUUGCUCCAAAUUGAACCAAAUUAAUCUCACAACAGUAGAUAGGAAUACCCUUAACAGUAUCCAAGUGCAGCACCAAAACAAAAUCAGUGCAUCAAAAAAAUGUAGAACCACUAAAGGAGCUUGUUCCAAAAAGGCCAACACUUACGUGCUAUCCAAAUGGAUGCAAUACUUAGAAGGAAAGUCAGUCAAUCAUGUUAACAAAACUUUGGGCACAAAAAACAGGUGGGGACAUUAUUGACAGCUAGAAGCUUCAAUACGCAUGCAGGUGUUACUGAUAUCAUGCAGAAAGUGUCAGAAAAGUGGUGGGAAUGACACUUGCACUGCAAAAGUAAAAACGAUGAGUAGACUGAAACAACAAACAGUGUUUGCACUGGCAAUUAUUGCCAGCAUCUUUCUUAUGAAAAAGAGAACCAAAAAAAAUGCAGAUUUCAUUUGCACAAAAGUUAUAUUAAAAUUAAAACAGAAUGAAAUACUUGAAAAUGUAAAUUUGAUAUAAGGAUAUUUGAUUGAUAUGGUAGAUCAUAGAUGAACAAGGGACAAAACGAAAGUAGCAUUUAGACGGAAACAGAUUUGGAGAAAGAAAUAAGUAACAUGUGUUAGCUUCCCUUGAAGGAAAAGUAGGAUUGAUGAAAAUAUUCAAGAAAUUACAAUCACAUGUUUGAAGCCUGGUAAGUAUCAUGCGAACACAAACCACAAGAUGGGUGGUAUUAAUCAACACUAAAUUCUCUUCAAGAAAUGCUAGUAGUAGUUACUCUGCAUGCGUAUGAUCUGCCAUACACAUGGCCCUAUCCCAACCUCCCUUCUAUGGCACCACGCCCAAGCAGGGCUUUCCCUAAAGUUGUGAUCCUAUAGAUAAGCAGUUAAGAUGGUUUGGAAGCAAUAUGGACACGUCGCGCAGGGCAGAUAAAAGUUUAUAUGCAUGAUUUAAGAAUUCAAAACUAUUCCAUGUUUAAGAACCUGAAGAAAAGAAAGAGUAUUUUUGAGAUUAGUGUUGAGAUGAUUGAAAUGGCAAGAUAUAACACAAUGAAUGACCAAUGUGAACUCCUUUGUACAUAAAGAUGAAAAGAAUCUUAGAGGAAAAGAAUGGAUCUUUAGAUGUCUAAUCUCCAGCAUGAAAAAUUCAGUCAAUGAAAACAAUAUUAACCUUUAAACUUUUAUAAAGGGCAACAACAUAUGUAUAGAAAAAAAGAAUUCUUAUAAAAAAUGAUAUGAAUUUCCAAGUGAUGAUGGCAAAAUGGAUAUUGGGAUAUCCUAUCACAAAAUCUAACAAUGAAAAAAUGGGCAAAUGGAGGCAAAGAUGUCUUUCUGCAUUUUGUUUCCUCAAGGAAACCUAACCAAACAUACAUGAAAAGAAAAAAGUAUAUGUGCAUGAUGUUUGUGUGCUAGUGUUUCAACUAGGAGAAAACACUGGCUGCCGGGUACAAAUUAAGCUACAAGAAUUCAAAAAUUCUACUAAGGGAAAACAAAAGGGUGCCUUUAUUCACAAGCUGUCCACUAAUUUGAGAGAUUUGUUCUCCUUAGCCAGUAAUAAGAUAUCGUGUAAGAUUGAUAAAAUAAUGCUGAGGUUCCUAAGGUAACAAGUCAAUGCAAAGAAAAAAACAAGAGAAAAUUUGACUUCUAGCCUGUUAAACAUUGUUGUGACUGCACGCAAAAGAUGGGUGUCGAAAUGAUGUAUGAUCUGAUUUUUCUAAACGUACACUAAAGAUGAUUGACUCUGACUGGAGGAGAAUGCAAACAUGAACUAGCAAAAGUUGUUGGCAGGUUCAGCUUGUCUCAUGCUGAUCCAAUAGCAAGGCCUACUGAUUUCUUUGUUGUUAAUUUCUUUUGGGCCAUUUCCUGCAUAUUUAGAUGAGUUGAUACGGUACUUUUUUGAGCAGCUUAAGGAAAUUAAUAGAAAGAAUAGGGGUCUAUAUGGCACCACCUUUUUUGCAUAAGUUUCUAGAACGAAAUAACACAUUUAAGAACUAUAAAUUGUGCUCUUACUAAUAGAAUGUCAAUGAACACCUUAAGUAACAAUGAGAGUAAANNN
rnacentral:lncRNA from 1 species